rnacentral:rRNA from 1 species
AUUGAACGCUGGCGGCAUGCCUUACACAUGCAAGUCGAACGGCAGCACGGGUGCUUGCACCUGGUGGCGAGCGGCGAACGGGUGAGUAAUAUAUCGGAACGUACCUUAUUGUGGGGAUAACGCAGCGAAAGCUGUGCCAAUACCGCAUAAUCCCUAAGGGGGAAAGCGGGGGGCCGUUAGGCCUCGCGCAAUUAAAGCGGCCGAUACCUGAUUAGCUAGUUGGUGAGGUAAAGGCUCACCAAGGCAACGAUCAGUAGCUGGUCUGAGAGGACGAUCAGCCACACUGGGACUGAGACACGGCCCAGACUCCUACGGGAGGCAGCAGUGGGAAUUUUGGACAAUGGGGGCAACCCUGAUCCAGCAAUGCCGCGUGAGUGAAGAAGGCCUUCGGGUUGUAAAGCUCUUUUGUCAGGGAAGAAACAGCAGCUCUAACACAGUUUGCGAAUGACGGUACCUGAAGAAUAAGCACCGGCUAACUACGUGCCAGCCGCCGCAGUAA